CUUCUGACAUCUUCAUGAGAAAUCGUGGAUGCAUCUUCAUGGUGCCAAGGGCAUUCCAGCACUUUUUGUUUAAAAACAGUAUUACCUUCUGAAUCAAGUUCUUCUAUUUACGUUAUGCACAAGGGUAACAGCAGCUUUGAUGUGUACGUCCUAAGCCUUCUUGUGUGAAGACAGUCUGCUAGCAGUGCUUAAGGAUGGCGGUGUUCCAUUACAUGCUCUUUGAAGCAGCAGAGGUUUGACCCUUUCUUUGAAUGGUUGUGAGAUGAACAUUAAUUGCCCAAAUGACUACAAGCUAAGAACAGCAGAUGAAUUUAAGCAGUCAGCCAACUGACAAAGAGAUUUUCAUCAAUAUUCACGGUACUUAAGAGUGCAACAGAGCAGAUAUGCAAAGUGAUACCAGUCUUAUUCUUACAGUCAAGCACAUGAGCUUUCAAGGAAGAGAGGAUUCAAUUCUUCAGUCAUGUUUUCAGUUUCAGGAGCUGUUCCUGUUGUACCAAGACAUAAUUCACUUUGAGAUACUCGUCUAGAAAGAAAUGUGAGUGUGAAAAGUAUCAGAAAACCAACCAACUGAAUAGAAUUGUGGGCAGAUUUCAACCCAGGAGAUUUGUUAUGAAAAUCUAUUUGUGGAGCACAGAACUGGAGUCCGGAGAAUCCUUUGGCUCUGGGAACCUAGAGAACAGAUUUUAAAGAAAAGUGAUCAUGGAAAAGUACCCAAUAUACUCUAUCAAGCUGACAUCAGAGAUUGAAGGCUGUUCUGGUUCAUCUCCCAGUCCUCAUUCAAGAGAAAAGUCUGCAAGGCUGGAAAUCUGAGGACUUGCAUCAUUCCACGAUCUCCUAAGCACACAGCAUUGCUCCUGCUUCCUGACACUGGUUUCAGCAGGACUUGAAAAUCAUCCAUAAUGAACCAACAAUGGACUGACCAAAGAGAUAUGGAGUAUUUGUGCAUCGGUACAUUGUACAUGAAGACACCUCCCCACAAUGAUCACAAUACUCGAUAAGAAUGGCUGCU